GUAGGUGGCAAGCGUUGUCCGGAAUUAUUGGGCGUAAAGCGCGCGCAGGGCGGUCCUUUAAGUCUGAUGUGAAAGCCCACGGCUCAACCGUGGAGGGUCAUUGGAAACUGGGGGGCUUGAGUACGGAAGAGGAAAGCGGAAUUCCAAGUGUAGCGGUGAAAUGCGUAGAGAUUUGGAGGAACACCAGUGGCGAAGGCGGCUUUCUGGUCUGUAACUGACGCUGAGGCGCGAAAGCGUGGGGAGCAAACAGGAUUAGAUACCCUGGUAGUCCACGCCGUAAACGAUGAGUGCUAAGUGUUAGGGGGUUUCCGCCCCUUAGUGCUGCAGCUAACGCAUUAAGCACUCCGCCUGGGGAGUACGGCCGCAAAGGCUG
rnacentral:rRNA from 1 species